rnacentral:rRNA from 1 species
GACGAACGCUGGCGGCGUGCCUAAUACAUGCAAGUCGAGCGAUGAAGAUUGGUGCUUGCACCAAUAUGAAGAGCAGCGAACGGGUGAGUAACGCGUGGGGAAUCUGCCUUUGAGCGGGGGACAACAUUUGGAAACGAAUGCUAAUACCGCAUAACAACUUUAAACAUAAGUUUUAAGUUUGAAAGAUGCAAUUGCAUCACUCAAAGAUGAUCCCGCGUUGUAUUAGCUAGUUGGUGAGGUAAAGGCUCACCAAGGCGAUGAUACAUAGCCGACCUGGGAGGGUGAUCGGCCACAUUGGGACGGAGACACGGCCCAAACUCCUACGGGAGGCAGCAGUAGGGAAUCUUCGGCAAUGGACGAAAGUCUGACCGAGCAACGCCGCGUGAGUGAAGAAGGGUUUCGGAUCGUAAAACUCUGUUGGUAGAGAAGAACGUUGGUGAGAGUGGAAAGCUCAUCAAGUGACGGUAACUACCCAGAAAGGGACGGCUAACUACGUG